AGAGUUUGAUCAUGGCUCAGAUUGAACGCUGGCGGCAGGCCUAACACAUGCAAGUCGAACGGUAACAUUUCUAGCUUGCUAGAAGAUGACGAGUGGCGGACGGGUGAGUAAUGCUUGGGAACUUGCCUUUGCGAGGGGGAUAACAGUUGGAAACGACUGCUAAUACCGCAUAACGUCUUCGGACCAAACGGGGCUUCGGCUCCGGCGCAAAGAGAGGCCCAAGUGAGAUUAGCUAGUUGGUAAGGUAACGGCUUACCAAGGCGACGAUCUCUAGCUGUUCUGAGAGGAAGAUCAGCCACACUGGGACUGAGACACGGCCCAGACUCCUAUGGGAGGCAGCAGUGGGGAAUAUUGCACAAUGGGGGAAACCCUGAUGCAGCCAUGCCGCGUGUGUGAAGAAGGCCUUCGGGUUGUAAAGCACUUUCAGUUGCGAGGAAAAGUUAGUAGUUAAUACCUGCUAGCCGUGACGUUAACAACAGAAGAAGCACCGGCUAACUCCGUGCCAGCAGCCGCGGUAAUACGGAGGGUGCGAGCGUUAAUCGGAAUUACUGGGCGUAAAGCGCACGCAGGCGGUUUGUUAAGCUAGAUGUGAAAGCCCCGGGCUCAACCUGGGAUGGUCAUUUAGAACUGGCAGACUAGAGUCUUGGAGAGGGGAGUGGAAUUCCAGGUGUAGCGGUGAAAUGCGUAGAUAUCUGGAGGAACAUCAGUGGCGAAGGCGACUCCCUGGCCAAAGACUGGCGCUCAUGUGCGAAAGUGUGGGUAGCGA
rnacentral:rRNA from 1 species